CUGGAGACGAUUUCAACUGAAGUAAUGAAGGCAGUGUCGUGCUGUCGAGAGAAAGCUGGAUCCCAACAACAGGAAACUACCUAAAUCACCGACCAGUUCUGAUGCUGCCCGCGCGGGGCUGCCGCCCGCAGCCUCUGCCGCCGCCGCCGCCGCCGCCACUGCCGCCGCCAAAGGAGAACCCUGAGGUCGCGCCGGGCCCGGCCCCUGGCCAACCUGCGCCCGCCGCUGCUACUGCGUGCCCCGGGAUGCCGCUAAGGCAUCACGGAGGGAGAUGCCACCGGCCCCGGUUUGACCCUUUUAUGCAUGUAACUUCACAGUAUAAAGGAAAUCCAACAAUGUCUCCCUUCUCUAGCUAUUCUGCUUGCUCCUGCCCUCCUCGGCUUCUGUGAAUUUUGGAAAGAAAAAAAAGAAAGAAAGAAAGAAAGGAAGGAAGAAGAAGAAAAUUAAAAAAUGAAAAAAAAAAAAAAACCCUCCACAGUUAGGAAGAAUUGUGGUGUGCUUGUCGUGUGUUACCACUGGUAACAGUUAUUCAAUCACCAAAAAAUCUGCAUGUAUAAACAAAACUACAUUAGAUUAUUUACCUACAGCCAGAAGGAUGUGGAAAUUCAGGGGUCAGUGAAAUAAUUUAGUUCCACAAUGCAAGACCUUACACAAACUGGAAGAGAAGCUUCCUUCUUCUGGUCAUUCUUUUUGUUCCUUUUAAAGCUGGAAUAUCUUACAGAGGAAGGAAAAAUUAAUCUUUCUGACUUUUCAAUUUUCCAGUCAGCCGAAGUCAAGCCCUUUUGCCAACCUGCAUGUCCAUGCCUAUAAGCCCUUCUCUUUGCCAAGGAAGAAAGGAAGAAAGAAGAAAGAAACCCAGAGGCCUGUAUCCCCUGAUUAAACACAGCCCAGCACUCCAGGCCGGCGAGCCCGGUGGCGGCUCCUUGCACCAUUGACCUCAGGCCAGACACCUCAGAGCCUACAAUGGGACCUCGGCCUUCCGGCUAGGUUUGCCCCGGGGGCCCCCGCAGGAAACCAGCUCCAGUUCCACCGGGAAAACAGGGGCCGUUUCGAGCAUUGGAACCCCCCCCCCCCCCCCCAGACAGCAAACCAUCCCAGUCACCACUUGACACUUAGGACAAUAUCUAUCUCUAUAGAAUUUUAGCGCGAUAUGGCUUUUUCCCCCAGAAAACAACAAAUAAACCAGCACCAAGCAAACGGACAAAGAAACAAAAAGUCAGAACAAACCAGCCCUGCACAGAUGUAACGGCCAGGAGAUGGCGAGUGUGGGAGGGAGGAAUGGGGCUCCGGCACAGGUGCGAGUUCCUGGGCAGAGGCCGAAGACAGAGGGAGGAGAACAGCUCUCUGGAAGCGAAAAAACGGCGUUGCCUGGAGAUUCAUCAGGAAAAAUUAAAGUUGGCUGUGAGCUCCCGGA